rnacentral:misc_RNA from 1 species
GGAAUCUUCCGCAAUGGGCGAAAGCCUGACGGAGCAACGCCGCGUGAGUGAUGAAGGUCUUCGGAUCGUAAAACUCUGUUAUUAGGGAAGAACAAAUGUGUAAGUAACUAUGCACGUCUUGACGGUACCUAAUCAGAAAGCCACGGCUAACUACGUGCCAGCAGCCGCGGUAAUACGUAGGUGGCAAGCGUUAUCCGGAAUUAUUGGGCGUAAAGCGCGCGUAGGCGGUUUUUUAAGUCUGAUGUGAAAGCCCACGGCUCAACCGUGGAGGGUCAUUGGAAACUGGAAAACUUGAGUGCAGAAGAGGAAAGUGGAAUUCCAUGUGUAGCGGUGAAAUGCGCAGAGAUAUGGAGGAACACCAGUGGCGAAGGCGACUUUCUGGUCUGUAACUGACGCUGAUGUGCGAAAGCGUGGGGAUCAAACAGGA